ACCUUUUUCAGUUUUAUAACAUAUAGUAAACUUUUGUUACCAAAUAGUUUUGUAUAUUUCUUGUGAGUGUUUGGGCUCAGAAGGAAAUGGUUCACGCAUUUUAAAAGCCUGAACUUAUAGCUGCCUUUACUCGUCUUGGCAAAUGCCUUAAGUCUUCUGGAGUUUCACCAGACACUUUCUCUUUUGUAAUAAUAUUUUCAUGUCAUGUAUAUUGGUCUUUUUCCCCAUUGGUUUUUUUUCCCCCCUCCACUAAACCGAGAUGUAAUAUUGAUGCCGUUUUUGUGUAUUUGGGAGAAGGUGACUUCUGAUUUGUUAAAAAUGUUUUCUCAUAUGAAGUCUUUAAUGCAAAAGCUUUAACUGACUUUGCCGGUUGACCGGAUGUGCCCCAUCGUACUCAUCAGAUACACAUAGCCAUUGAUCUGGCCCUUUUUCAUUGGCUAUAGAUAUUCAAGCUGCCAACAUAACAGUAACCUAUAAAGUAUCCCACACCAAAUGGCUUAUAUUUAGUUGAAGAUAAGCACACAAAAUUCUUUAAAUAGGUCUGCGAUUUCGAAUUAAUUGGUUGACUCAAAUCCUGUGGUAGGAAAGGACUGUACUAGUCUCAUUUGCAUAUCAUUCAUGCUUUCAUUGUCAUGAUUACUGUUAGUAUCAGACUAAAAUCAGCAUGUAGGAAAAUUGCUGCUUUGUUGUCAUGUGGUUUAACCAUUUAGAGAAGGAAGUGUAGUUAUUCUGUAAGUAUAGUCAGGUUACAAGUAGCAUGCAUGAAUGAAAGUUUGAAUUAUCUCAGUGUUUUUAGAUAGAGAUGUGCAAAAUUUUCAGAAUCAACCAAUUUAGGGUCAGAUUUACUAACAGCUUGCACCAGUGCAAGCCCUCUUUUUGGCGUUAAGAGGCUACUGUCAGAAUUUACUGAUGACAGUGAAAAAUUAGUGAUGAAAAGGCAUGGAUACGGUUAUUUUUGUGGCUGAUCUUAUUACGUAUUCAUUUGUAGGAGUUUCUCUUUUAGACACAAAAUGUAUGUGAGGAGAGUAUUUAAAUGAAUCAUGCAAUGAGAUUUACUAAGGUUUGCAGUAGUCAGUUUACUGGUAUUUGCGCCAUUAUUUAAUAUGCACAAAAAAAGUCAUGUCUUAACCCAUUUUGCACUUGACAUGCCUGCGAUAGUUGCUAAUUUGUGCUCCUCUUGGUAGAUUGCAUUGGUCAUUGGAAACGUCAGGCUACGUCUACAUUAAUUUGCACAUUGUCAGUAGAUCAACCGCAAAACGUUCCACUCCUAUCAACGUUUUUACCUUUUUAUGGGAUUGUGGUCUCACGCUAAUAUGCCCCGUUCAGUAAAUCUGGGUGGCCUGACCAGCUAGUUCACUAAUCAGUCUUCUAGUUAGUUGAAUAUUUUUAAUUAAACAUGGCAUCUUAAAAACAACACUUACCACUGAGAUGCUCAAAUGGAUGUUUGAAUGUGUAAUGGUUGUACUAAAAAUCUAGAUAAACUAGUCAACCUCACUAAUUGACUAGCUUGUUUUUGGACCCAUCCCUGCUUGUAGCCAACUAGCUUAGCAGUGUCAAGCUGAAUGAAAUGAACCGGAAAAAAGCACUUGCUCUCGCAUUGCUGCGUGAUGAUGUUUGGUUUGUAGAUUACAGGAAAUUAAAUCUUAUCCUUCCUUUCAUAUGUUUUGAUUCAUGAAACCGCAGAAGUGGCACAGCCUUCAUGAGCAUCACUGCUGCGUCAAAAUGUGCCCUUUUAAACUGACGUCACAUUAAAUUUUUUGGGGGUUUUGUACCAAAUGUUCGAUUUUGUAAUCGCUAUUAUCUAAAGCAACUAGAAAUGAAGCCUUAAACCACUACUGCUUAAUAACAGGAUCUGUUGGUAGAAUAUUACACUACAAAUUAUGUCCUUUUGUGAAAAGUGUGUUUAUACCUUUUUCAGUAUAAUUCACAGAGCAAAAUGUCAUCUCAUGUCUGCUCUUUCUGUGGAUCUUUGUUUCUUUUGCUGUCCUGUUUAUGUACUUUUCCCCCACCCAACUCUACAUGCAUCGUCUGAUCCGAGAGAAAGAGACACUUGUGAAAUAGCACGUGUUAUUUUCCUCUUGUAUCCAGUUGUCUUCCAGAGUGUUCGAAUCAGAGGACCUGAUUGGUUCAUUUCAAGACUAACCAUGUUGAGUUUCAUCAUUUCUGUCACACAGGUUAGUUAGUUUGCCUGUCACCUGUGCCACUGUGCUUACAUUGAACAGAAACUAGUGUAUUAGAUCACUGUUAUCUUUGUCAGUUUUGUCUGUAGAAAAAAGAAGAGGUGAGAAUCGAUGUCUGUUUUCUCAAGCGUUUCAAUGGUUUGUUUUACAUUUGGGAAGUUACCAGCCUUUGCCAAAUAGCUACCAGCUGUUCUGGUUUUGAGUGCAUGCUCUCUAGCAGAUUUGAACCGUAUUGGUGCUGUCUAACUCUUAAAGGGCCAGUGUAUCUGUUGCUUUUGGAAUGGAUCACUAAACACUGUAAUAGAAUCAAAAAGUGUCAAGUUUUUCAUUUAUUUUUGUCUUUUACGGUGCUAAAUUAAAACCAUCAAGGAAG